rnacentral:rRNA from 1 species
GCGCGAAAACUUUACAAUGCUGGCAACAGCGAUAAGGGAACCUCGAGUGCCAGGUUACAAAUCUGGCUGUCGAGAUGCCUAAAAAGCAUUUCAUAGCAAGGGCCGGGCAAGACCGGUGCCAGCCGCCGCGGUAACACCGGCGGCUCGAGUGGUAACCGUUAUUAUUGGGUCUAAAGGGUCUGUAGCCGGCCGGAUAAGUCUCUUGAGAAAUCUGGCAGCUUAACUGUCAGGCUUUCAGGAGAUACUGUCUGGCUGGAGGUCGGGAGAGGU